UCCUGGGUCUUUUUCUCCCCUUGUCGCUCGUAUCAUCAUCAGCCUCCACUGUUCGCGUCGUGUUGAAGCACCUUACCACUGCGCAUUCCCCUCCCCCUCCCCCUCUCCACACACGCGCAACAAAGUGCGACUCUCAUCGACUUUCUGAUUCUCUUUCCGUUCUUAUCCUUUUUCUUCUAGACAGCACCAUGAACCGCGCAGGCUUCGACAAGUACAUUACCGUCUUCAGCCCUGAGGGCUCGCUGUACCAGGUGGAGUACGCAUUCAAAGCCGUCACCUACCCUGGCUUGCUCACCAUUGCCAUUCGCUGCAAGGAUGCCGUUCUGGUCGCAACGCAGCACGUGAUUCCCGACCGCCUCAUGCGCCCUGACUCGGUGACGGCGCUCUACGAGGUCACUCCGAGCAUCGGCUGCUGCAUGACCGGUCGCGCCCCCGACGGGCGCGCGCUAGUGCAGCGCGCGCGAGAGGAAGCGUCGGAUUACCACUACCGCUACGGUGUGCAGAUUCCAAUCGCUGUGCUGGCGAAGCGCAUGGGCGACAAGGCCCAGGUGCGCACGCAACAGGCCGGCCUGCGGCCGAUGGGUGUGGUGAGCACCUUCAUCGGCAUGGAUCAGAGUGACCAGGAUGGCUCGCUGAAGCCGCAGAUUUACACCGUCGACCCGGCCGGCUGGACCGGUGGGCACAUUGCAUGCGCUGUUGGCAAGAAGCAGGUGGAGGCGAUGGCAUUCUUGGAGAAGCGCCAGAAGAGCACCAAGUUUGACGAGCUGACGCAGAAGGAGGCCGCGAUGAUCGCGCUGGCGGCGCUGCAGAGCGCGAUCGGCACGGCUGUCAAAGCGAAAGAGGUGGAGGUGGGCCGCUGCACAGCCGCCAACCCGGCCUUUCAGCGUGUGCCGAAUAGCGAGGUUGAGGAGUGGCUGACCGCCGUGGCCGAGGCGGAUUAAGCGGUGCGCGGGCGACAACUUAGAACUUCGAGCACCGCACCGAUUUCUGUUCCUUUGGCGCUUUUCCUCUCCUUGCCCUUCCCCUCCUCACCUGAUCUACCGCGGCGCGUGCAAUCGCAUCCGCUUUCUCUCUAUUCGCACUGGAGGCUGCUCAGCGCCGUGGGCGGCCCACGGCGCAAGGGGACGUGUGCAGGUCCCACGCUGGUUCACGCGGCUGGCGCUCUUGUACUGCAUGUCCGUAGCAAAGACAGGAAGGAAGGCACACCAUGGCUGCUCUGUUUUCCUGUUCAUGUGAAGUGCUCAGAGGAGGUGUUCCACGCAUGCGGACACGCACCCUAGCACCUUCCUUGAAAGAAGCGGAGGGGUGGCUGACGUACGAUUUGCCUGAGCUGUGUCUCCGUCUUAUGUUUAUUCUCCUUCCACCUUCUUUUUUCUUUGGGGUUCGUCCUGGUCUUUGUCUAUCUUCUUCAUGUGUGCGGUUGUGGUUGCUGAGAGCGCGCUGACAGGCGCGCACGGUUUUACGUGUGAAGGCUGUGGCGAGCCCACACGAGACGUGGAAAAGUGACGACCGCGCAUCCUCAUGGAUCGCUGUCUGCGGGGGCCUCGAGUGUCGGCCCCGCUGCGUGGGUGCAGCAAAGGGAGAGCUAGAAGGCACUGCCGGCGAGGAGGCGGGUGCAAUGAAAAGGAGCUGGAGGCGAGGGAUGGGUACAGGCAAGAGACGCUGCUUUUCCGUUGCCUGUUAACCGGAUCGCGGUACGAGCGAGAGGAGGGCGGAGGAGACGAAGAGGUCGAUACCAAGAAGCACGGCGGCACUGCUGUGCCAAGCACAUGUGGCGCCCACACGCCUGCCAGCUGCACCGUCGCCCCCCUCCCUCCCUCCCUCUCGCACUUUGGCAGCACCCCUUCGUUCGCACUUCUUAAUUGUUCGUUCUACGGUUGGUUGGACUACUAUUCUAUGAAUGCACAUGUUGAAGAAG
rnacentral:misc_RNA from 1 species